rnacentral:tRNA from 1 species
GGAGGUGUUGUUCAAUGGUUUAGCUAUAAGAUUGCAAAUCUAUAUAUUAAGAGUUCGAUUCUCUUCAUCUCUU